CAGACUCCUACGGGAGGCAGCAGUGGGGAAUAUUGCACAAUGGGCGCAAGCCUGAUGCAGCCAUGCCGCGUGUGUGAAGAAGGCCUUCGGGUUGUAAAGCACUUUCAGCGGGGAGGAAGGCGAUGAGGUUAAUAACCUCAUCGAUUGACGUUACCCGCAGAAGAAGCACCGGCUAACUCCGUGCCAGCAGCCGCGGUAAUACGGAGGGUGCAAGCGUUAAUCGGAAUUACUGGGCGUAAAGCGCACGCAGGCGGUCUGUCAAGU
rnacentral:rRNA from 1 species